UUUAAUAUAUAUUUGAUAUCUAUAAAAAAAAAUUUAAAUUUUUAUUUAUUUAUUCAUUGUGUUUUUGCUGUGCAUAUGAAUGGUACAAAUGCACUCGAGGUACCCCGACAGCAAUCCUCCAGCGUAACAACAGAUAAUACAAGUGGUGUAGUGGAUUAGAAAGGCACAAUUUUAUAAUAGGACACAAGUUGAGAAGGUAUCUGGUCGAGACCACCCAGCCACUGUUCAGGAUACAGGCUAGCUGCGAACAAAUAAUGGUGAGCAAGUGGCUAGGAGACAGGUCAGAUUAGAUAGGCUAAGCUACAAACAUGCAACAAACAAAAAAUUGCUAGCCACUAACAGCAUGUAAAAUGCAGUAACAGCUGAACUAUGUGAAAACAUAUGGUCUAAAAAUAGUAUAAGGACCAGAAGGAAAACAAAGUAUCAGCGUAAUAUCCAGCAUGUCUAUAUAGGCGUCUGGCUUAAGGGUAUCCACUGGGCUAUGCUAUUGUUGUAGUGCACUGCAUAACUAAAUCUAGUCAGGUGAGGUCUUGUGGCUAGAAUAGUGGGUCAUGGCCUUAUUGUAAAAGAUAAAAAGACUAUUAGGGUAUAGUAUGGUAUGCAUAUACACUACAGUCCAGGUUACUACUAGAACAUCUUGUGUGUAUCUUGUAUUCAGGUCGCCUGCUAGGGUGUCUGGUGUUCGGCAUCUGGAAAGUAGACUGUCCCUUGCACAGUGUAUUUUCACCCAAUCCCCUGGUUGAGCAUUGCUCUGCGUUUGUGUGUAAGUCCAGUGGAGUUUGCCCAGUUGCGGGUCAU